GGCCCUAUCGUCUAGGGGUCUAGGACGGAGCCCUCUCAAGGCUUAAACACGGGUUCGAAUCCCGUUAGGGCCGCCA
rnacentral:tRNA from 1 species